UUUCUUGGCUGGUAUGACAGUGAUGCAUCUAUAUUGAAAUUUAGUUUUCUUUGCGAAAAUGUGUCUUUAAGUUGAUAUUUUUACAUGAAUUGGCUGCCCAAUUUUAUGUGGUUUUGCUCAAAUAAAGGUUAAAUGCCUUUGCCUGUGAAGUCUAAUUCUUGUAAGAGGAAAUUGCCAAUAACGGUGUCAGUUAUUCUGGAUUCUAAGGAUUUGGACACUUACCCUGUUGGAAAAACGUUGAAAGGUUGUUGACCCAGGCUCAGAAAUCGGUCAUCUUGGAUUUCAAUAAUCACCAUUUCUAGAAACGUUUUGUAGUAUCUGAGAAGGAAUGAAUCGGAACGGAGAAUGAACUGAUGGUCAAUUAACUUUUCAACAACUAAGGAAGAAAUUGGAUGUGAUAGAUACAAUUUUGCAGAUGGAACUUUUGAAACAAGGAAAGGCCCUUCUAGUUCGAAGGGCACUAUAAUUGGCAGUUCUUAUGACAUUCUCCAAGAGUAGAAAGGUAAGGAAGAGCAGGGUUUUUAGUACAGGGUCACUGACUCAUAGUUCAGUGCAAGGUCCAGUGUUGACAGGGAAGAAUAGCAAACUGGUUGCAAAAAGAAAUACAAGGUUGUAGGCCUUGACGACAGCAGGGAUGGUAACCCAGUCUUUUCUAGAUAAAUUUGUUUGGAUUAUUAGGGAUCUGACUGACCCAAAAAACAAACUAAGGUUGUAUUUGGUGUUAAAUUCAAGAGAUAUGCCUUGUGCUCAGAGGAAACAAAGUUUGGAAGAGUUAGUUUGUCAAUUCCAUGGCACGAGGGUGGAUAUUUGCAAAAUGAAGUCCUGGUUUACUAGCAAGAAAUCGGUUUUCUUGAAUCCUUGUAGGGUUGAGACCACUCAGAGUGCAUUUGGCAAUAAAGGAGUUCUUGUACCUACCCCUUAUUUUGUUACUUUUUUUCUCUGCCGCCAACAAUUGCUUACAAAGAAGUCUCUGGAAUCAGAUAUAAUGGCUUAUAAUGCUAGAUGUGCCUGAGACUUACUUCUAUCUUAGAUGAUUUUUUUUUGUCAAAGUACAAAUCAUUUGUUCUUUGGUUGCUCUUCCGCAGGUAAACUUUAAGUUAGAAAAUUUUCAUUUCUGUAAAUUAGGCAGGCAGCAAAGAGAUUGAGUCCUAAGUAGUGACUUCACCUUCUCUGUGGGUUGCAUCAGUCGCUCAUGUUUACCAUGUGGAAAGAGAGGCAUGCAUGGAUGCAUCUGAGUCUGACUAUGUACCAAGAUGGGCACGCUGUUGUUCAAGAACUAGUGGUAGUUAUCAAGUAUAAGAUUAGUAAUAUUGAUAAAGUUAGAAGUACAAGCUUAUAACGGGUUUCUAAUUAUUUCAGUCUUUUUCCUGUUUUUGUUUGUCCUGUUUGAUCUGUAUUACAGUUCAGUCAGUCAGUCUACUUUGAUCUAUUAUUUUGCUGCUUUCGCAAUUUGGUUUAUGUAUCUGAUCUACUCUUGCCUCUUUUGUUAAAUAAUUUAUUAGUUACCCAGACUAAAAGGAUCUUGCUGUAAAUAAGUUUUUUGCAGUUCACUGUUGGAAUUAAAACCAUACCUUGUUUUUUCGUUAGUGCUAGUUCGUGCUUUACGUAAGAGUUGAUGAUUUUACUUACCAUGUAGGUUUUCCUACGAGCUUAGUAUUUUUCUUCUUUUUUUCUUUUUUUUGCAGGUGGCUGAUGAUACUACAAAAGUUAGUAUAAGUUGUUCUAUUACAAUGCUAUACCUUGGUUAAUUACAAACCGGUCAUUCUCUCCUACUUUGGUUAUUGGAGAAAAAGUGUACACUUAUUGGUGUUGAAUAAAAGGUUUUAGCGAACAAUUUGAAAGUUGAGCUUAUUUUUGUAUGACUGGAUGAUAUAUAAUAUUGUACUAGUUGUUUUCUGCGUUGAAGUAUGGGAAACUAGAGUCUAGAGUUGCCCGAACGAUUCGUGUGUAAAGUAACAUGAGAAUGAGUCACCAUGCUGGGCUGUUACGAGGUGCCUUGGGCCAAAUGAGCAAACUAUUUAAGGUACUGUUGGAGUUGAGUUGCUCGUUGAGGUUUGAGAUUGAGGAUUCGUUAAGUUGUUGAAGACGCAGCUUGGACGAGAGG